GAAGGAUCGAUGAUGUCAUUAAUUACUGCGUUAUCUAUCUGUAGCUUCCCCUCGUGGGGGGUGAAGAUGACAAGCGAUACAUGCUGAGAUCCC